UGCCUUUGGAGGUUUACUGAGGCUGAGUGA
rnacentral:piRNA from 1 species